rnacentral:rRNA from 1 species
CAUGCAAGUCGAGCGGUAGCACAGAGAGCUUGCUCUCGGGUGACGAGCGGCGGACGGGUGAGUAAUGUCUGGGAAACUGCCUGAUGGAGGGGGAUAACUACUGGAAACGGUAGCUAAUACCGCAUAACGUCGCAAGACCAAAGUGGGGGACCUUCGGGCCUCAUGCCAUCAGAUGUGCCCAGAUGGGAUUAGCUAGUAGGUGGGGUAACGGCUCACCUAGGCGACGAUCCCUAGCUGGUCUGAGAGGAUGACCAGCCACACUGGAACUGAGACACGGUCCAGACUCCUACGGGAGGCAGCAGUGGGGAAUAUUGCACAAUGGGCGCAAGCCUGAUGCAGCCAUGCCGCGUGUGUGAAGAAGGCCUUCGGGUUGUAAAGCACUUUCAGCGGGGAGGAAGGCGGUGAGGUUAAUAACCUCGUCGAUUGACGUUACCCGCAGAAGAAGCACCGGCUAACUCCGUGCCAGCAGCCGCGGUAAUACGGAGGGUGCAAGCGUUAAUCGGAAUUACUGGGCGUAAAGCGCACGCAGGCGGUCUGUCAAGUCGGAUGUGAAAUCCCCGGGCUCAACCUGGGAACUGCAUUCGAAACUGGCAGGCUAGAGUCUUGUAGAGGGGGGUAGAAUUCCAGGUGUAGCGGUGAAAUGCGUAGAGAUCUGGAGGAAUACCGGUGGCGAAGGCGGCCCCCUGGACAAAGACUGACGCUCAGGUGCGAAAGCGUGGGGAGCAAACAGGAUUAGAUACCCUGGUAGUCCACGCCGUAAACGAUGUCGAUUUGGAGGUUGUGCCCUUGAGGCGUGGCUUCCGGAGCUAACGCGUUAAAUCGACCGCCUGGGGAGUACGGCCGCAAGGUUAAAACUCAAAUGAAUUGACGGGGGCCCGCACAAGCGGU